UGGUGGUUUAGUUAUGAGGCACACAUGAACCGGGUCCGAAUCAUCCGUUUUGGAUGUUUGGACCCUUUAGAGGCCUUUUGAAGGGGCUCUGUUUUUCUCUCCUCAGAUGCCCCUCAAGCAGCCUUUAACAUUC